GUAGCAAGUGGAUUUGCAGCAGAAACACCCUGCUAAAGAACAAGUAUCUUGAUUCACAGCAAAGAAGACAAAGAAAAACAGCAAGUUCUAGGGGGUUGAAUCCUGGAUUGACAGACCAUAUACUAUGAACUUGGUGAACUAGGAAAUUUCACACAAUAUGUGAGUAUGUCAGGUGCGACUCAGGACCUCAGUAGGGUGUGCCCAGACCUACCUGUGCAGCGGGCUGAUUCGGAGUGUUCGGCACGACUGGGGACCACAGUAGGGCGUGGGCAGACCUGCCUGUCUGCAGCGGGAUGAUUCGGCGUCUGCAGCGGGAUGAUUCGGCGUCUUCCGCGUGACUCGGGACCUCGCUGAGCAUCUUAUCAUGUGCUACCUGCAUGAGUCUUGUCAAUGGGUGAGAGAGAGGUGACCCCUGCUUUCUUCACUUAUGAUGGAUCAUUGCUGAGGAGAAGCUUCAGAUUACUGUCCUGUCCACCCCACUGUGGCUCACUCAACUCCAGAGGUCAGCAGGAAAGAAAAUGCUGAGAUAAUUUUAAAAGCUGGUAUUAUACUGAUUUCGUAGUUCCAAGGUGCUGAGUUUGCUCUCUCCAAGGCCAGCUGACCAGCUAGGUGGCAGAAGAAAGGUCAAUGAUAAUAAAAAUCAAGGAGACAGUGGAUUAAGAAUAGCCAAGUACAUGUCUUAGCCUAGGUUGUGUCUGUUUGUAACCUGUUGCGAGGAAGACAAAAGGAAAAUUUAAGUAUGGCCUACAAUUUAUUUCUCAACUAGAAUUAUUGGUGAUCUUGAAAUAACUGCAUUUUCGAGGAGCCUUCUGGACUGCCAU
rnacentral:lncRNA from 1 species